rnacentral:tRNA from 1 species
CCCUGGGUGGCUCAGUUGGUAGAGCAUGCGACUCUCGAUCUCAAGGUUGUGAGUUCAAGCCCCACACUGGGUG